CAUAAAACUUGAAAUGUCUGCAUGAUAACUGCUUAAAAUGGGUAAUUUUUUAUCCUCAAAAUAUGCAUUUUUGAGGCAAAAUCCAAGGGGACCCGUAACAUGGCAACGGGGGCAUAAACAAAUUUUUUGUCAACAUUUUUCUUGUUAGUUUAUCGAUAGCUACCAACAGACCAAGUUUCAAGAAAAUCUGAGACUAUGCGUGCCGCAA
rnacentral:lncRNA from 1 species